GAAAAGAAACCAACAGGGAUUACUUUAGUAACGGCGAGCGAACAAGUAAUAGUACAUCCUCUGAAUCCUGCUUUUAGAAAUAGAAGCUAGGAAUUGUAGAGUUAGUAAAAAGGAAAGGAUUCGAAAAUUAUUUGAAAUAAUAUGCCAUAGAGGGUUAUAGCCCCGUUAAUUAUCCUAAACCUUAUGCUAAGAUUGAGUCGAGUUGUUUGGUAAUGCAGCUCUAACAUGGGUGGUACAAUGCAUCCAAUACUAAAUAUCCGUGGGAGACCGAUAGUGUAGAAGUACUGUAAAGGAAAGAUGAAAAGCACUCCGUAAGGAGAGUGAAAAGUGUGAAAUUGUUGAAUUGAACGUUCCUUUUAUCGAUUAUAAUAAUACCACAAUUGGGCAAGUAAGCUUGUUCGGUCUGAUAUUAUUAGAAUGUCAUGGAUUUAAUGGUUAGAUUUAAACUGCAAUAUAUCUGCCUCGCGGUUGAUAUGUGUAACAAUAUCUAAUGAUUGAAUUUUUUCGUAAGAGUUUGACACGAUAAAAUGAACACCCGUCUUGAAACACGGAAGGGCGAAUUCGUUU
rnacentral:rRNA from 1 species